rnacentral:rRNA from 1 species
ACGGAUGGUGCGAGCGUUAAUCGGAAUCACUGGGCAUAAAGAGCACGUAGGCGGCGGCGUAAGUCAGUGGUGAAAUCCCCCGGCUCAACCGGGGAACGGCCAUUGAUACUGCGUUGCUAGAGUGCGGGAGGGGCAGACGGAAUUCCAGGUGGAGCGGUGAAAUGCGUAGAUAUCUGGAGGAACGCCAGGGGCGAAAGCGGUCUGCUGGCCCGCAACUGACGCUGAGGUGCGAAAGCUAGGGGAGCAAACAGG